AUCCAGCUGACUAUUCCCAAAUAGGACGAAACGCGUGUCCUGCAU
rnacentral:hammerhead_ribozyme from 1 species